rnacentral:rRNA from 1 species
ACUAGCCUAAAUAUCCUAAAGUUACCAGAUCCCAUUUGAACUUAGAAGAUAAGCAGGGUCAGCUCUGGUUAGUGCUUGAAUGGAGACUACCAAUGAAUACUAGGUGCUCUAGGUU